UGGGGAAUUUUGGACAAUGGGCGAAAGCCUGAUCCAGCAAUGCCGCGUGUGUGAAGAAGGCCUUCGGGUUGUAAAGCACUUUUGUCCGGAAAGAAAUCCUUGGCUCUAAUACAGUCGGGGGGAUGACGGUACCGGAAGAAUAAGCACCGGCUAACUACGUGCCAGCAGCCGCGGUAAUACGUAGGGUGCAAGCGUUAAUCGGAAUUACUGGGCGUAAAGCGUGCGCAGGCGGUUUGCUAAGACCGAUGUGAAAUCCCCGGGCUCAACCUGGGAACUGCAUUGGUGACUGGCAGGCUAGAGUAUGGCAGAGGGGGGUAGAAUUCCACGUGUAGCAGUGAAAUGCGUAGAGAUGUGGAGGAAUACCGAUGGCGAAGGCAGCCCCCCUGGGCCAAUACUGACGCUCAUGCACGAAAGCGUGGGGAGCAAACAGGAUUAGAUACCCCUGGUAGUCCACGCCCUAAACGAUGUCAACUAGUUGUUGGGGAUUCAUUUCCUUAGUAACGUAGCUAACGCGUGAAGUUGACCGCCUGGGGAGUACGGUCGCAAGAUUAAAACUCAAAGGAAUUGACGGGGUCAUAGCUGUUUCCU
rnacentral:rRNA from 1 species